UACGAGGGGGGCGAGCGUUGUUCGGAAUUAUUGGGCGUAAAGGGUGCGUAGGCGGUUUGGUAAGUCUGAUGUGAAAUCUAUGGGCUCAACUCAUAGUCUGCAUCGGAAACUGCCGGGCUUGAGUAUGGGAAAGGUGAGUGGAAUUCCUGGUGUAGCGGUGAAAUGCGUAGAUAUCAGGAAGAACACCCGUGGCUAAGGCGGCUCUCUAGUACGGUACUGACGCUGAGACGCGAAAGCGUGGGGAGCGAACAGG
rnacentral:rRNA from 1 species